AUACUAAAUUGUGAUUUGCUUGAAAAGCGUUGCCAGAAAGGAGGAGAAGACGGGAAAAAAUGGCUCAUAUUAAAUAUGUGGUCAUACACCCUUUUGAAUUCUGUUUGUGAUUUAUUUUUGUUUUGAAUUUGUAUCCAUCAACUACUUUUCUCUUUCGUUGGUUGUCCUGAAAAAAACUUCUAACAAUUCAUCUCUCAUGAUUGUUUUUUAACAUCGUAAUUAUUAACCC
rnacentral:lncRNA from 1 species